GACGAACGCUGGCGGCGUGCCUAAUACAUGCAAGUAGAACGCAGUUGCGCACGCGUGAGUAACGCGUGGGUAAAUGCCUGGUAGCGGGGGGUAACUAUUGGAAACGAUAGCUAAUACAGCAUACUACCAGAUGGACCUGCGUGGUAUUAGCUAGUUGGUGGGGUAACGGCCCACCAAGGCAACGAUACAUAGCCGAACCGGGAGGGUGAACGGCCACACUUGGACUGGGACCCGGCCCCGACUCCUACGGGAGGCAGCAGUAGGGGAUCUUCGGGAAAGGGGGGAACGCUGGCCGAGCCAAGGCGCGGGAGUGGAGAAAGGUUUCGGAUCGUAAAGCUCUGGUGGUAAGGGAGCGGUACUUAACCAGAAAGGGACGGCUAACUACGUGCCAGCAGCCGCGGUAAUUC
rnacentral:rRNA from 1 species